rnacentral:rRNA from 1 species
AGCAGCCGCGGUAAUUCCAGCUCCAAUAGCGUAUAUUAAAGUUGUUGCAGUUAAAAAGCUCGUAGUUGAAUUUCGGGGUUAGUAGGUUGGUCGUGCCACUGGUACGUACUGGUCUCACUGACUCCUCCUUCCUGAUGAACUGUAAUGCCAUUAAUUUGGUGUUGCAGGGAAACUGGACUGUUACUUUGAAAAAUUGAGUGUUUAAAGCAAGCUAACGCUUGAAUACAUUAGCAUGGAAUAAUGAAAUAGGACGUUCGAUCCUAUUUUGUUGGUUUCUAGGAUUGACGUAAUGAUUAAUAGGGAUAGUUGGGGCAUUAGUAUUCAAUUGUCAGAGGUGAAAUUCUUGGAUUCAUUGAAGUACUAACUACUGACGAAAG